CUGGGGUGUCAAGGGGGUGGGAGGGCACUCUGGGAACAGAGGCCCAGGGAAGCUGUGCGACAAAGGGGACAUGGAAAGGGCCACGCAAGGGCUCCCACAGCUUCCCCAGAUGCCUCUUCAGACCUUUGCUCUCUCCCUGCUUCUGCUGUUCCUCCCAUGGUUGGGCUUUGCUAUGGCCCCAGCCCCAUGCUAAUAAUAGAAAUGGCAGCCAUUUAUCAUAGGUUUAUGAUGUGCCUGGAAAUAUGCUCGCACUUGACAUCUGCCUCAUUUGACCUUCACAAACAAGGCUGUGAGGUCGGAAACAGGCUCAGAGAGGUGAAGACACCGGCUUUAGAUCACACAGCCAGGAAGUGCUAGAGGCGAGAUUCAAACACAGGUCUGCAUGACUCCAAGGCCUGUGUCUUUUCUUUCCAGACAUGUGGUGGAAACCCUACGGCCCUGGAGCCCAAGGAGAGCAACGGCUGUAACAAGUGCACAGGUUUGAGUGCGCUGAGACAGGGGAACCGUGGGCAAAGAGGUCCCUCCAGAAAGAGCUGGGUGUGAGCAUGGGUUCGUGAGCUUGCCUGGAGCCCUGGCCUCAGCCCUCUCUCACUGAGGUGCCAUCUGGCUCGCAGAUGUGGCCCAUUCCCAGCCCCUCGUGUUUCUUGGAAAUGAGAAAGUCCAGGAAAGGGCACAGGGGCUUUCGCAACGACCGUGGCGAUGAUAGCUUUGACGUGUGGUCAUCCAGCCGGCCACUGCCCACACCCAAGAGAAAGCUGGAUUGAGCAUCAGGAGCCUGGGUUCAAGUCUGCCUCUCAAGCUGUUCCACAGGUGACCCUGGGCAAAUCGCACAGGCUCCUGGAACUUCAGAAAGGGGAAGAAUUAUUCCUGCCUCUGGCGACAUCAGCGAAUGUGCCUUGAGUUACGGGAGUGUUUUGAAGGCUGAAAGCUUUGUGUACACGGAAGGGGUCAAAGACAGCCACAAGCCUGUCCCUUUGGUCUUGGUCAUCAUGUUAACCCCAGGUUUCGAUUUAAUCCUACAUGCUCCUUUCUUAUGUGUGAGGCUGAGGUGGGGGCAUUGGUCAGAGGAGCCUCUGGGAAAUUUCCUUUCAGGACAGUUCUUUUGUUAAGGGGCCUGGGUGUGCUGAGAAGGGAAGGUGGCUCCUCCUGCUCUUGGAGCUUGGAGUUUCUCACAAGCUCUCCCUUAAAAGCCAGGCAGGCCAAGAAGGGAUAAUGGCUGCUCAGGGCCCAAGGGGCAGGAUCUCUGAGGCCCGGAAGAUCUCAGUAGGUUUAGCCCAAGAGUAUCCAGAAGUGGCCCAGGCCCAUUCUCCAUCCCUCAGAGCCUGGCAGCCUGGUCAGGACCCUCAAAGGCCAUGACCGUACCCGUAGGGCACCCUGGUGUCCUUCUGACAGGUGGGAUCUUUGUUUCUUACAGGCAAGGGCGCUAGCUGGUGGGAGCCACCCCGCCAUGCUGAUGUCAGAGAAGCAAGAACUCUGGAGAAGCAGCCUCCUGGGACCAGAGGAGGGCCAGCAGCAGGCAGCCCGGAGACAGAACUGCACAUGAAAGUGACUGUGACCCGCAACGGGAGCCUUGACAACCAGCCAAUUCAGAACACAGACCUUGACAUCGGAAGGCCCCGAGUUCAAAUCCUGCCUUGCUCCCUUUCAGCUGGAAAGCUGUGGUCAAAUUACUUAGCCUCUCCAAGCCAGUUUUCCCUUCUGCAAAAUGAGGUUACACAAGCUGCCACCUCACAGAAUGAGUGUGAGAAUUAAUUCUUAUUUUCCACACCCUCAUUUGACAGGGGGAGAAACAGAAGCCCAGAGAGGGAAAGGGCUUGGUUAGGAUCACACCAUGAGUUGGGGGUUAAGUCAGGAUGGGGUAGGUCCCCUCUUUCUCUGGGUGUUCCUCUCCCCCAUCCCUUAUCUCAACAUAAAUCCUCCCCAGUUGCCCAGGUUGUCCAGGCGAUUCCUGGCACACGUCCUGGGGCCUGCCCUCCACCUUUAGCCCUGCUCUGGCUUCUGCAGCAGCAGAGUCCUGGGUGACCAGCAGUGGCCCCUGGCCCUCUGAGUGGUGGUGGAGGGUGGGGGUGCACUGCAGCAAGCUCCCAGCCCAGAGCAGCCUGGCCAUAUAAGGGAAGGAGCUCAGGGAGGCCUCCUGGCUCAGGCCUGGCGAGAAAACCCAGACAGCCACUGUUUAUUUUCUCCUCCCCAGCUCACCCACGCCUCUCCAAGCCUCCCAACAGAAGACAGAGGUCCCCCACAGCCAGAGACAUUUCCUGAAGACAUGGGGAACACAGAGGCAGAAACAGCCCAUCCACCCAGGAGCUGUCCCCCACACUGCCGGGAGCCGGCACCCAGAGCCGCCAGGUAAAACUGAGGCCACCUGGUUCAACAUCACCUUUCACAGAAGGGGAAGCAGCCACAGAAAGAAGGGCCUCGUUAAGAAGUGGAACCUGGGACCCCCAAGCGGUGUCUCUCAUCCUGACUGGGGAUCCAGAGUAGGAGGGAGCCUUUGGUGGGGUAAGUGGAAUGGGGCGGGGUGGGGGGUGGCCAUAGACCCCUCUUCUCAGUAAGGCCCUCAUGUGAAGGAGGCAGGGGUUGGGACAAGUGCUAAGUAUGCAAGACUCAAGGGAAGAGCUGCUGGAGCCAGGAGAAGCACCUCCCUCCCGGCCCCUCUGCCCCUCCUCAUAGCCCAGCUGCACUGACUCCUCCUCCAGGAAGCCUUCUCAGCUUCCCCAGGGGUGGGAACCUUUUUGUCCUCCAGGUGUGCUUGGCUGUCCUUUCUUGGGCUCUCUCUCUCUCUCUCUCCUCAUCCCACUUGAGUCUGCCCCCUAUUCACCUUGUGAGGGGAAUUUUCCUUCUACUCAAUCUGACCGAGGUCCUCCAGGUCAAGGACAGCGAGGCUCUCAGUCCCACUUCCCCUUGGCACAUAGAAGAGGCAGUGCGCUGAAGGGACAGGUGAAAUGAUUAGACCCUGCCCCCAAACCAAGGCCUGGCCAAUUGGACAGGGCAUGAGACAUUCAGCGUAGAGGUUAAAACGAGGGCCCUGGGUUAGGAACCCCAGCUCAGUUCUCAGCUCUGUACCCUUGGAAAAUUCCCUUCCCAUGGAGCUUUGUGGAUGCACAAGGACUUGCACAAAGAAAACAUUCAAUAUCCAGGACUAUAAAAUUCCACAAAUGAUUGUGCUUAUUACAUUCAUUAUCACGAUGAUUAUUCCAGACACAAAGGAACAGAACGAGGCACCAACAGCAAGGGGCAAGCAGAUUCAAGGGCCACAGAGGAGAUGGAGGCAAACACCUUCCCCUGGUCAGAGGCUGUGCCUCAGCCCUUCUCCCUGCAUCAGUUUCUCCUUCAGAAGCAUGGGACUACCUCCCAUCUAGUUCUCGUUUCUAAACCUAGGGGAGAUGCUAUCUUUGCUGCAAUAAUCUUAGCCUACAUCUUGGAAUGGAAAUGGCCUUGGUGGAAAUGGUCUUCAACUCCUCUGGUCCAAGCUCAGGCCCUGUGACCCUGGAACAAUCCCCUUCCUGGUCCUCCAUGUAGGAGCAAUAACAUUCCCUUGCCAGCAGCACCAGCCAUUCUGAUGAUUAAAUGGUAUCGGACUCUGUUUUCCAAACUCAGUCAUUCAGAUGCCCCCUAUUUUAUUUCUUCCAUGUCUGCAAAUGAUUAUAAUAUUUUUAAAUGUAGGAUGAGUCCUUUUUAUUACACAUAGAAAUAGCUACUGUAAAUAGCAAACUCUAACACUGUGCCUAAUUAGGAAAUAAAGGUAACCAUAAAUACAGUAAAAAUGAAACAAUGUUAUUAUGGUUUAACCUGAUAGUGUGGCUUGCAAGGCCCUGGGCCUGAAGCCUGGGCAAUAAGUGAGAGUUAGAAAGGUGUCAAAGACAUGAUAGCAGCAAACUGAGGCUUUGUACCCCACGGUAAAUAGGACUGAAAGCAAAUUCACAGGGAGCAACUGAUCCAUUCCACAACAGAAUGCUCCCUGUCAAUUCGCUUUCCAUUCUGUUGUGUCCUGUCUCCCAGCAGAGACUACAAACUCCCCAAAACCACUUACCCACCAGCUGCACGUGAGAAGCCAAAGGUAGUUUAUGUGAAAGGGCUUUGGAAAUAAUCACGCACCAAGUGAAGGCAGAGGACACACCUUGUCAGCUUAGUUCUCAGCAGCAAAUCAUCUCUUUUCCAGGAUAACCCUCCCUGAUUCUUAUUGAAAUCUCUUUGCUGACCACACUAAGCUCUUCUCUCUCAGGGGCAGUGGGAGCCGUGGAGAGUGGAAUAGACCAGCUGUCUGUGACCUGCGAGGGAGUCCAAUGUCGGAAUCACUCCCCAGCCAAAUGCACGGUUUUAAAAAAUCUAUUUAUUUAUUUAUGUAGAGACCAGGCUAUGAGACUGGCUAAUUUUUCGUAUUUUUGGAUAGAGACAGGAUUUCAUCGUGUUGCCCAGGCUGGUCUUGAACUCCUGGGCUCAAGCGAUCCACCUGCCUCGGCUUCCCAAAGUGCUCAGGAUUACAGGCGUGAGCCACUGUGCCCAGCCACCAAAUGCAGUUGAAAAGAGUUUCUGCAAGAUAAUUCCACAGAAGAGGAAAGCAGUUAUCUGGCUGGGAAUACCUUAGACAGAGGCUGUCCUCUACACAGGCUGUCAGAACUGACCUACUGACCUGCCUGCUGGCAUGAUAGACCAGAGGGAAACACUCUUUCCACUCUUCCCAGACUGAGUGUAAGAGACAGACUUUUUUUUUUUUUUUUGAGACGGAGUCUCACUCUGUCACCCAGGCUGGAGUGCAAUGGCAAGAUCUCGGCUCACUGCAACCUCCACCUCCCCGGGUUCAAACCAUUCUCCUGCCUCAGCCUCCCAGGUAGCUGGGAUUACAGGCUCCCGCCACCACGCCUGGCUAAUUUUUGUAUUUUUAGUAGAGACAGGGUUUCACCAUGUUGGCCGGGCUGGUCUCGAACUCCCAACCUCAGGUGAUCCGCCUACCUUGGCCUCCCAAAGGGUUGGGAUUACAGGUGUAAGCCACUGCUCCCAGCCUUUUUUUUUUUUUUUAUUAGAGACAAGGGCUCCCCAUGUUGCCCAGGCUGAUCUUGAACUCUAGGCUCAAGCGAUCCUCCUGCCUGAGCCUCCCAAAGUGCUAGGAUUACAGGCAUGAGCACUGCUCCCAGCUCUGUUUUUGUUUUUUUAAGGAGGUAUAUUUUUUCUGUUCUCUCUCAGCCCUGAAGAAAGGCUACCCAUCCCCUUCAGACAUUCCUGAAAAUAUAUGUCAUCCAACAUCAAGGCCACCACAGUGACCACUAAGCAAUGCAAGAAGGUCCUCUGGGGUGCCCUGAGAUCUUGGCAGGGCAGGAAGAGUGAGAAGGGGCUUUGCCUGCUCACCUGAAAGUUCCCACCCAAGCCGGGCCCAGAAAACAAAAUGAAUUAUCUACAUGGUCAUCCAAUCAGCCACCAAAUGGCAUUACCUAGGUCCAUCAUCAUGUACCAAGCCACAGGUCAGACCCAGGGCCCCCCAAAUUAACAAGACACAGGCACUGUCCUCAGGAAGUGGAGAUCUAGCCAGGUCAGACCCACACACAAAUAACACUGAUACUAGAGAUAAUGAGAUUGGGAAUUAUGAUUCAGCCAUUCAACCUGGGCUUAUGUGGCAUCUACACCACCUGGCCCUGAUUUCAGUAGUGAGCACAGUUGACAGGGUCCCUUCCCUUCACAGGUGAGCCAUGUAGUCCACAAGUGGAGGUGGUCGUAAGUGAAAACCACAUUACCAGCAUGGUAAAGGGUUAGAAAGAGGGCACCGGGUGGGCGAGAACAUGAAGCAGGGGGUGCUGAUGGCUAAAGAAGUAAAGGAGGGGCUGGGCACUGUGGUUCAUGCCUAUAAUCCCAGCACUUUGGGAGACCAAGGCGGGUGGAUCACCUGAGGUCAGGAGUUCUAGACCAGCCUGGGCAACGUGGUGAAACCCUGUCUCUACUAAAAAUACAAAAAUUAGCCAGGCAUGGUGGUGCACGCCUGUAGUCCCAGCUACUUGGGAGGCUGGGGCAUGAGAAUUGCUUUAACCCGGAAGGUGGAGUUUGCAGUGAGCCGAGAUCGUGUCACUGCACUCCAGCCUGGGCGACAGAGGGAGACUCUGUCUCAAAAAAAAAAAAAAGUCAAGGAGGGUUUCCCAGAGUGGCCACUUGAUUAGAGACCUAGCACAGGAGGAAGAGAUGGGCAGGGAGAGUGACGGGGAGCAGCACAGUCCCUGGGAGCCCGAAGUGGGUGGGCACAGGGCUCCCUAGGAGAAUGGAAGGACAUCUAUGAGCUGUAGCCCAAGAGGAAGAGGUCACUGGGGCUAGAUGCGGCAGACCCUCGCAGGCUUUGGGAAGGGCUUCAGAAUUCAGCCUGAGGGCAAUGGGGAGCCCUUUUGGGAUAUUAAACUUGAGUAAGAUAUGAGCAUAUUUGCAUCUUGAAAAAUCAUUAUGGGAAGAUGGCUGGGAAGAGAGGAGGAGUGGCAGAAGAAAGAUAGGUUGGAGACAAUUGAUUGCUCGAUGAUAUAAAAUGUUAAGUACCAUGAAUGAUGCUGUUAGGCUGGAAUGCGCCAAGCAUAAAGGUGGGGCAUGGCAUCAAAAGGUAGGUCAACAUAUUAAAUAAUUCCAUGUAUUGAAAUAUCCAGAAAAUAUAUAGACAGAUCUAUAGAGAUAGAAACUGGUCUGCCCAGGACUAGGGGUUGUCUAAGGAUAAGGAGCUUCUUUUUUGGAUGGUGAAAUAACCUAAAAUAUAUUGUGCCAUUGUUUGCACAACUUUGUGAAUAUAUUAAAAACCUGUUAAUUGUACUCACUAAAUGUCCUCCUUCUAAAUUAAGCUGUUCUUGACAAGAAAAGGAAAGAAACAAAGAAAAGAAGAGAAAAAAGGUCAAGGUUUGGUCCUGGGUGCUCAAAUGGCAGGCCACAGACAGGAAACACAGUUGUGAGGAAUUACAACAGCCUCCCGGCCAGAGCUGGAGAGGUGGAGCCCAGGUCCCCUCUAACACCCCUUCUCCUGGCCAGGUUGGAGUCCCGCCACAGGCCACCAGAGCGGAGCAGCGCAGCGCCCUGUCUCCCAGCCUGAGGUGCAGUGCUGCAUCUCUGGUCAGUUGGGAGUCUGAGAUGAAGCACUGUAGCUCAGGAAGAGAGAAGUUGUUCUGCAGCCAUCAGCCUGGAAGUGGUAAGUGCUGGGGGGUUGUGGGGGGCCAUAACAGGAAGGACAGAGUGUUUCCAGACUCCAUACUAUCAGCCACUUGUGAUGCUGGGGAAGUUCCUCUACACAAGUUCCCCUGGUGCCACGAUCUGCUUCACGAGUCUGGGCAUGUCCUGACUCCUCUGUGUACCCCAGUGUGUCCAUCUUAGCAUGAGGCGUUAGCAUUUCCCCAGCACCCUGCCUCUGCUUUCUCUUUCUGAGCCCAUGGCAGACACAGCUAAUCAGUAAAGGCAUAUAUUCUUUUUUUUUUGAGACACAGUCUCACUCCAUCACCCAGGCUGGAGUGCAGUGGCAUAAUCUCAGCUCACUGCAACCUCCUCCUCCCAGGGUCAAGCAAUUCUCGUGCCUCAGCCUCCCAAGUAGCUGAGAUUACAGGUGUGCGCCACCACACCUGGCUAAUUUUUGUAUUUUUAGUAGAGAUGGGGUUUCACUAUGUUGGCCAGGCUGGUCUCAAACUCCUGACUUCAGGUGAUCUGCCCGCCUCGGCCUCCCAAAGUGCUGGGAUUACAGGCAUGAGCCUCCACGCCCCGCCAGGCAUCCAUUCUUGAAGUGCUCAGAUGCAGCUUCAGAAUCCUCAACAAUGAGCCCUGGAAAGCCACUAGUACUGAUUCACAGCUGAAACUCAUUCAUCAUUUGUGGAUCAAACAAUUCCUAAAAACCCUUUCAGCCCUGAAGAUAAAAAUUCUGGCCUUUGAGUCAGGGUCUUCACUCUGUACUUCUAACCUUGGCUCCGGGGUAUUGCCGAAACCAGUCCAGGCACGUCACAAAUGUCUGACUUCUCCCAGAGGCUUCAGAAGCACAAUGAGCAGCAGAGGAGAGCCAUGGAGCCAAGCACAGUCUCAUUUAACCUCCCCAAAAGCUUGGGAAGUGGGUGGUGUUAUAGCCCCAUUUUACAGAUGAGAAAAACUGAGGCUUAUUUAAGCAGCUCACCUAAAGUCACAUAUUGAUUGUGCUGAGCUGAGAUUGUACCCUAAUCUGCCUUCAAAUCCAUGUUUUUACCCAUUGCAUGUGAUUAUGGAACCUGGGACCGAGGAGCAGGAGGAGAACAUUCUAAAUUCUGCUCCCAUCUUGUCUUUACAUCUCAGGUCACUUUUAGCAAAGACAGACCCGGACACUUGCCAUUAAUACUACAGGCUUCCUUCCUCCUACCCCCUUCCCCCAAUCUUAUUCAUCUCACCUCUCCAGUAGGUCGUGGACUCAUGCAUUUUAUAAUUAAAGAAGGCCAAGGCUCAGGGGUUAAGUGACUUACUGGAGGUUAUCAGAGAGGAAGUUGCCAAACCCAGGCUAGGAACUGAAUGGUUGGUUUAAAUCCACCCCUCUGGCAGGAGACUGGGGAAUACACAUGAGCCGUGCAGACAGCAGAGGGCAGUCCUGGGGGUGGGGGCGCCAGAGGGUUUCCGGUACUUUUCAGGGCAAUUGAAGUUCCGGUCACUACUCCCCCCCAGAGCAAUAAGCCACAUCCGGCGACGUGUGGCACCCCACCCUGGCUGCUACAGAUGGGGCUGGAUGCAGAAGAGAACUCCAGCUGGUCCUUAGGGACACGGCGGCCUUGGCGCUGAAGGCCACUCGCUCCCACCUUGUCCUCACGGUCCAGUUUUCCCAGGAAUCCCUUAGAUGCUAAGAUGGGGAUUCCUGGAAAUACUGUUCUUGAGGUCAUGGUUUCACAGCUGGAUUUGCCUCCUUCCCACCCCACAGUUGCCCCCCAAUGGGGCCUCGGCUGGCUCACAGGAUGAGGGUUCAAGAAGAAGGCUGUCCCUGGAGGUAAGAGGGCUUAUGAACCAUGUUCCAAACCUUUGCGUUGCUUUUCUUUCCAUCGUGUCUAUUUCAUAACAUCCCUGUGAGGCUGGAUGUGGGAACUUCAGCACUGCCGUACUCUUGGGAAAUUUGUCCAAGGCCACCCGGCUGAGCAGCGGUUGAACCAGGACACCAUCAGGCAUGCGUUUCUUGUCUCCACCACACCCUCAACCCACUUCCCAACGCGCCUUGCGACAGGGGCUGCGGUAUUGCAUCCACAUGACUGAUAAACUAGUAAACACACAUGAAUUCAUUUUAAAAGUGUAUUCAAUCAGUUAGGUAAACUAAAAACCUUAAGUCUUCGUUCGAUUUGGAAUGCAGCCAGAGAACAAAUGGAAAAUUUUUCAAGGUAGAGAAGAUGAAAACUCAGAACGCCCUCUUGUGGCAUCUCUACCCACCCUAGGAACACUAUGGCUCUUCCCCUACACAUGGUGAUUGCUAACCUUGCUACAAGACGUUGGACACACACACACACACACACACACACACACACACACUGAGGUUCCUUUUGCCCCCUCACUUUUGAGCCAGUGACUACUGAAACCCUCUCCAUUGUUGCACCACCAGCAAUGCCCCCAUCACUUCCUCUCAUUUACUUCCACAGGCUGGUUCAUCCUCAAAGCCCUCCUUACGUAGAUCUGUGGGAUCAGUGAGGCUCAGAGAGGUAAAGUGGCCAGCCCAAGGUCGCCCAGACAGCAAAAGGCAGGGCCAGCGCUGAUUUCAAGUCCAAUGGCCUAUGGCAAUUUCUUAGCCAAAAGCAAAAUCUACAAAAAUAAAAAGUCAGGCACAGUGGUGAGUGCCUACAGUCCCAGCUACUGAGGAGGCCGACGGGGGAGGACCACUUGAGCUUGGGAGUUCCUGGCUGCAGAGAGCUAUGAUUGUGCCUGUGAAUAGCCAAUGCACUCCAGCCUGAGCAAGAUAGGGAGACCCUGUCUCUAAAAAAUACCUAAAUAAUUUUAAAAGUCAGCCUCUCUGACUGCCUAUAGAGAAUGCUAACUAACUGAAUGACAGAAGACCUAAUGUAAUCCAGGUGCAAAAUCAGAACUUUCCGGCCGGGCGCGGUGGCUCACACCUGUAAUCCCAACACUUUGGGAGGCCCAGGCGGGUGGAUCACGAGGUCAGGAGUUCAAGACCGGCCUGCCCAACAUGGCAAAACCCCGUCUCUACUAAAAAUACAAAAAAUUAGCUGGGCAUGGUGGUGGCCACCUAUAAUCUCAGCUACUCAGGAGGCUGAGGCAGGAGAAUUGCUUGGACCCGGGAGGCAGAGGUUGCAGUGAGCUGAGAUCGCGCCACUGCACUCCAGCGUGGGGGACAAAAGCGAAACUCUGUCUCAAAAAAAAAAAAAUUAGAACUUUCCCCGUACUCUUGCUAGGGCUUUUCAUGGAGAUGUAGAAAUGGUAGUAAGUGCCAAGGCCCCAGAACCCUCAUGUUUGGGUCCGACUCCCACAUUGCCAGAGACUAGGCAGCUCACACAGGUGUCCCAAGCUGUCUUUCUCACAGGCCGCAUUGAAGGCAUUUAUGAAAUGAGACCCCCUCUUCCUCAUCCGUAGUGACAGGGCUGGCCUGACCGUGGAGAAAUCAGAUUUGAUCAUGAUAGCUUCCACUCCGUGACUGGUCACGAUCUGCCAGGCGCUGUGCUAAACACUUUCAUAGGCCUUGUCCCCCUCCAUCCUGAUAACACCCCAGUGAAGCAGGCCCUGCUCUUCACUCCACUCCACAAAGCCAAGGCUGAGAGAGGUUAACAGACUUACCUAAGGUCACACAGCUAAGAAGUCGUGAAGCUGGGAUCGAAUCAAGUCUGUGUUUAUGGGUUUAACUAUCAUGUUGUGGCCCCAACCCCAUUUGACCUAGCCUGGCUGGUGGGCCUUCUUGCAGUAGCUUCCCCUGGAGAAGAGGAAAAGCAAACCUUCAUUGAGACCCAAGCGGUCUCUCCUGUGCUCUGUGACAAUAAUAAAGUUCCAGCCCUUGGCUCCUGU
rnacentral:lncRNA from 1 species